AGGGUUUACUUGAUACUUGAUGUUGUCUCAUAGCUGUGCUUUGCUCCUGGCUUUUUUUUUGAGCACAUGAAUGUGGAUAUAGCUCUAGACCCUCCAUUUCACUUACUACUUGCCUUCUAGACCCUCAAUUUCACUUACUACCUGCCUAUUAAACAAUCCUUCCUUCUUAAGCAAGAAGAGUAUUCAGCCUGCUUAGUGCUUGUGUUUCAGGGUUUAUCUCCUGUCUAUAAAGCAUAUACACAUUCUCAUUGUAUUUGGGGACAAGUAAGCAACCUUCUUGUACUGCUGCUUGUGGAAUAUGAUAAAAAAUACCUGCUUCUGAGACCAAAUAAUUCCUGUUAAUGUCUGAAGAUCAAGGCUUUCGUAUAGAGCACUAUUUUUGUGUUUGUCCGAGUCACAGCAGUGCAAACAGGAAUUUUGGCAUGAGUAAUUCAGUUGUUUAUUUGUACUGAAAAACACCCUCCCUACCAACAUCCUUUGAAAUCUUACAAGAAUUUUGGAUUCUCCUGUGAAUAUGAAUAUUCAGCGCAUCAAUAGCAGAUGUCCAAGAUCCAGUCCUGGAUAGCCUUCCAGUCUGGUGUUUUUCUUGCCUCUUCAUGACCUCGUGUCUUGAGCAGCCUAGCUGGAUCCCCUGGUUCCUGUUUCUUCUUGUUUCAAAAUUCUGCUUUCUCCCAUUUUAGAUUCCCUACCCUUUUAUAUUCAUAUGCAUACACUAGCCUUUUGCUACCUGUUUUGGUCUUCGCUGUUUAUCCUGAGACUUUGGUUUGGUCCCAUGCAGUAUUUUCCAUGUGGCACUGCUCUCCUGGAUUCCCUGCCACAGUGCAGUUGGUUUGUCUGAAGAACAUCCCUGAUGUACUUCUGAGGUUUUAAUGGCCUGAUGGUCCUCAUCUACCUUUCUGUUCUGCUUCUUUGUCUUGCUCUAAGUACACAUUGGAGAAGACAUUAAGGCUGUAUUUUUGCUGCCCUACUUAGAAAGCAAAUGCAUGAACAUUUUUUAAAGAACCAAGAGAGUCUGUGGAUUGUGGGGGAUGAUAAGCAAAGUGAAAAGUUCCUGAGAUAAAAAAUGCAAACAACUCCUCUCAACAACAACAACACAUCUCCUCUUGGACAUGUUUAGAUUCAUGAGAUGUUUGUUCUUCUCCUUUCUGCUCUAAUUAGGAAAUGCAGUCACAUUUUAGCUUCUAGGCUAAAUGUAGUUCUUCCUUUUUUUCCCCCUUCUGUCAAGUAAUCUCUCUGUUCAAUUUUGUAUCAUUUUGACGAGCCUUUCUUUGCAAGUGCUCAGCUGUGAAAUCCCGUAUGCUCUACACCAUAAGAGAAUUGCUGCUGAAUAGAGUAUCUUAGAUUCAUCUGAAAUAUGUUUUGUUUUCUGGUGUAAUACACUCCCUUAAAAACAUUUGUUUUGAAUGUGGUUAUGAAUCUCUUCAGUUAUCUGGCUGCUCCUUUGCUAAUGGAUUCAAAAAAGUCAUUAAGCAUGUGCGUAUUGUGAUCUCUGGCUCAAAGUGAGGCAUUUGGGGGAAAAUACCAAGUUUAAGUGUAUUUUGGCGUUCCUACUGCAGUAGUUCAUGCUGAUUUCCAUAAGUGCAAAUUUACAUUGUUGGUGCCAUCAAAGUUUUAAGUUUUUGUGCUAUUACUGUGUUGUUGUGUAGCAAGGAUUUAAAGUCUUAGUUUGACUUCCCGUUCAGUUACAAAGCAGGAACAUACUAACAUAGUACAUUACAAAAAUAUUUAAAUGUAAAGCUAUUAUGUCUGAGUUUCUGGUCAUGUAAAAUUCUUCUUUUGCAUAAUUCUUGCUGCGUGAAUCCUUUUUCGGGGGAACGGGCAGGUGGUUCAGGGAAGAAAACAGUUUUCUUAUGCAAAUUGAAUAAGAUUUGUCGUCGGAGUUUAUAAGGACAUGUCUGUUUCUGUUUAUGAAAUAAAAUGGUAAAGCAGGUUUUGCGAAGUUUUGAAAUUAAAUGUUUUUAACUUGAAAAGUAGCAUUUCCUCAAUAUAUAAGCAGUGAGUUUGUUUUUCUGAGUUUAGAAUACGGGAUUCAAUUUCUUGUCAUAAUUAUGUGAACUGACAUUUUCAUGGAAAUUGUCAUUUAAGGAGACCUCUUAAUGGUUUUAUAUUUCUUUGUAUGUUUUGGCAACAUAGAUGUAUUCAAAUAAAACACUGUCUAUGAUUGUUGGGUCUGAAAUAUAUAUUUUUAAAUAACAAUGUAUCUUGUAUUUCCUGAGAUUUUUACAGUGCUGAAAUUUAAAUAGUUGCUUAAAGC